CUCCUAUGUGUGUUUACUGAGCACUUUCUAUAUGAUAACCAUGGUCCUAGACUCUACGUGGGAUAAGCAUAUGGCAUUUCUCAUUAGUUGUUCAGCAAGAUACAACCAAGGCUGAACAUGGGAGAGAAACAAAUGCAGGGGCGCUUGUUCCAAUAUGGGUUCCAUUACCUAUCACCUUUGGCUGCAAACUUGUCAGAGUGGACACAGUUGUGCAGUCCUCUCCAAGCUCAGAGGCCUCAGGUAAAAAUAAUGACUUACUAGAGUGGAAGCUCAUCUGAGACACUCAAAACUGUAAAUGCAAGGGACACCUGGAUGGCUCAGUGGUUGAGCAUCUGCCUUUGGCUCAGGAUAUGAUCCUAGGGUCUGGGAUCGAGUCCCACGUCAGGCUCCUUGCAGGGAGCCUGCUUCUCCCUCUGCCUCUCUGUCUCUUUCUGUGUGUCUCUCAUGAAUAAAUAAAUAAAUUCUUUAUUAAGAAAAAUUGUA
rnacentral:lncRNA from 12 species